rnacentral:rRNA from 1 species
GACGGAGGGUGCAAGCGUUGUUCGGAAUUACUGGCGUAAGCGCGGGCAGGUGGCCUUUUAAGUCCUUUGUGAAAUUCCGGAGCUCAACUCCGGAUGUGCAUAGGAUACUGGAAGGCUAGAGACUGGUAGAGGCGAGCGGAAUUCCUGGUGUAGCGGUGGAAUGCGUAGAUAUCAGGAAGAACACCGGUGGCGAAGGCGGCUCGCUGGGCCAGUUCUGACACUCAUCCGCGAAAGCGUGGGAGCAAACAGG